rnacentral:rRNA from 1 species
CCCAUAACUCAGGGAUAGCCUUUCGAAAGAAGAUUAAUACCUGAUAGUACUUUUCAAGGCAUCUUGAGAAAGUUAAAGAUUUAUUGGUUAUGGAUGGGGAUGCGUUCCAUUAGAUAGUUGGUGAGGUAACGGCUCACCAAGUCUUCGAUGGAUAGGGGUUCUGAGAGGAAGGUCCCCCACAUUGGUACCUGAGACACGGACCAAACUCCUACGGGAGGCAGCAGUGAGGAAUAUUGGUCAAUGGGCGAGAGCCUGAACCAGCCAAGUAGCGUGAAGGAUGAAAGGGUCCUAUGGAUUGUAAACUUCUUUUAUAGUAGAAUAAAGUGAUCCACGUGUGGAUUUUGUAUGUAUACUAUGAAUAAGGAUCGGCUAACUCCGUGCCAGCAGCAGC